rnacentral:misc_RNA from 1 species
GAAAUGCGAUAAGUAGUGUGAAUUGCAGAAUUCAGUGAAUCAUCGAAUCUUUGAACGCACAUUGCGCCCCUUGGUAUGCCAUGGGGCAUGCCUGUUCGAGCGUCAUUUGUACCCUCAAGCUCUGCUUGGUGUUGGGUGUUUGUCCCCGUCUCCGCGCGUGGACUCGCCCCAAAGUGAUUGGCAGCCGGCGUACUGGUCCCGGAGCGCAGCACAUGUCGCGCAAACGAGUGCCUUGGUACGGCGGCGUCCAUAAGCCCCUCUCUCACGCUCUUGACCUCGGAUCAGGUAGGGAUACCCGCUGAACUUAAGC